AGUAACACAUGGGUUACCUACCUCUAAGACUGGGAUACCAAUUGGAAACGAUUGUUAAUACCGGAUGUGAUCUACGGAUUAAGAUGCCCUUAAAGCAUCACUUAGAGAUGGGCCUGUGGCGCAUUAGCUAGUUGGUGAGAUAAUGGCCCACCAAGGCGACGACGCGUAGCCGAACUGAGAGGUUGAUCGGCCACAUUGGGACUGAGACACGGCCCAGACUCCUACGGGAGACAGCAGUUAGGAAUAUUCGUCAAUGGGGGCAACCCUGAACGAGCAAUGGCCGCGUGAGUGAUGACGGUCCUUCCUGGAUUGUAAAACUCUGUUGUUUAGGAAAAAUUGCACAUAUAGGAAAUGAUAUGUGUUUGAUGGUACUAUUCUAAGAAAGCCACGGCUAACUACGUGCCAGCAGCGGC
rnacentral:rRNA from 1 species